CCCCGCCCGCGCGGGAAAGCUCCGCCCCCGCGAGCAGAUUCCGCCCAUGGCGAGUGCGCCUGCGCACACUUGCAGGCGUGUCUUUCUUUGAUACAGCCUUGAGGGGCCUGAGAGAGAAAUCUUGGAAUCUCCAAAAGGAGGCCCAGAUGGGCUAGCAGAACUGCGGUGCCCCUGGCCUGCCCCACACACUCAUUUUCAUAGUUUGGCCGUAGGACUAGAAUGACUGCGGCCCCGAAUGUCCCCUUCAGACUCAGCAAACAGCUCUGAGUCGUUUUCCUAAAAGUCACCCUUUGACAGGAUCCUAGAUUGCACUUUAGUCCUCUGUAGAUGAUAGCUCUGUAUAAGCAUCGGAUCUGAUUUAUCCGCACUCUCCCAGAGUGACAAGCCCCAGGAAGGCAUAGGAACAAACCAGUCCUGAAAGCUGAACGCCAUUCCCCAUUGCCUUCUGCGCAGUCGUGCUUAUGGGGACCCUGGGAGAUAAGUUUCCAGCCAAAGAAAGUCAUGCCACCUGGAAUGCCACACUUUGUUAUGCGUUAGACUUUUGUUGCUAGCGGCAGAGACCAGCACAAACCGGCGUCGCAAAUGGGAGUUGUUGGGUCAUACAAAGUGGAAAAGUCCAGAGGCACCGGUGACAACAGGCUCAGUGUCAUCCAAAGCCUCCUACUCCUUCACUGGGAUCUUAGUUCUGUCCACACAAAACAGUUCUGAUCUCAAAGGGAAUGAAAGACAUUUUGAUCUGAGCCAGUUGAAGAGUGACCACGGCCAGGGACACAUUCAGGUUGCCUUAAAUAACAUGUUCCAAAGUGUUUGUAAGUAACAACAAAACUGACAAGCAGAGACUCCAUUUUGUGCAUCAUGGAUGCAGAUGCUGGAAACUGCUAAACCCCAAACCACCAGACCCUGAGGAUUGGACAGAAGUAUGUGGGGGAGGACGAACAGCUGCAUCCUCUCUGCAACUGCUGAUCUCCAAUACCACACCUGGUUUAUGCGGUGCCAGAGAUGGAUUGCAAUGAGUUCCAGGCAAGCAG